AGCUUGCUUCUCGCUGACGAGCGGCGGACGGGUGAGUAAUACUUAGGAAUCUACCUAGUAGUGGGGGAUAGCACGGGGAAACUCGUAUUAAUACCGCAUACGACCUACGGGAGAAAGGGGGCAGUUUACUGCUCUCGCUAUUAGAUGAGCCUAAGUCGGAUUAGCUAGAUGGUGGGGUAAAGGCCUACCAUGGCGACGAUCUGUAGCUGGUCUGAGAGGAUGAUCAGCCACACCGGGACUGAGACACGGCCCGGACUCCUACGGGAGGCAGCAGUGGGGAAUAUUGGACAAUGGGGGAAACCCUGAUCCAGCCAUGCCGCGUGUGUGAAGAAGGCCUUUUGGUUGUAAAGCACUUUAAGCAGUGAAGAAGACUCCAUGGUUAAUACCCAUGGACGAUGACAUUAGCUGCAGAAUAAGCACCGGCUAACUCUGUGCCAGCAGCCGCGGUAAUACAGAGGGUGCAAGCGUUAAUCGGAAUUACUGGGCGUAAAGGGAGCGUAGGUGGCUCUAUAAGUCAGAUGUGAAAUCCCCGGGCUUAACCUGGGAACUGCAUCUGAAACUGUAGAGCUAGAGUAUGUGAGAGGAAGGUAGAAUUCCAGGUGUAGCGGUGAAAUGCGUAGAGAUCUGGAGGAAUACCGAUGGCGAAGGCAGCCUUCUGGCAUAAUACUGACACUGAGGCUCGAAAGCGUGGGUAGCAAACAGGAUUAGAUACCCUGGUAGUCCACGCCGUAAACGAUGUCUACUAGUCGUUGGGUCCCUUGAGGACUUAGUGACGCAGCUAACGCAAUAAGUAGACCGCCUGGGGAGUACGGCCGCAAGGUUAAAACUCAAAUGAAUUGACGGGGGCCCGCACAAGCGGUGGAGCAUGUGGUUUAAUUCGAUGCAACGCGAAGAACCUUACCUGGUCUUGACAUAUCUAGAAUCCUGCAGAGAUGCGGGAGUGCCUUCGGGAAUUAAAAUACAGGUGCUGCAUGGCUG
rnacentral:rRNA from 1 species